CUUGCCCUGAUUGCCUUGACACACUUUAACCUUCUGUGGAUUAAGAACCUAGUACUGUCCUGUAGCCAUGCAGGCCGAUUGCUAGGCAGCAGGUGCUUUUCUACAAAAGGAUGCCAUGGUUGUGCUCUGCAAGGUGUCUGUUCCUGGGGCAAACAGCCGUGUAAAUCCCUAAAACAGCCAAAGGUGGGAGAAGAGAGAAAUGCAUCCAACUGCCAGAGGUUAUCCUGAGCCCACGGGGUCGUGAAGAGAAAAAGGCUUGAAGUCUCUCCUCCUCUUCCUCCCUCCGCCACAGUUUGAUGUUCCAGGUCGUCUGUGCUGUGACAGAUAACACCAUGCCCAGGGCGGUCAGGAGAGCUAGCGGUCCCCGUGCAGAGUCCUCGCCGAAAACAGGUUUUUGUGGAACUACUGUUUUUUGUGUCCUUAGUGAAG
rnacentral:lncRNA from 1 species